GUGGUGCUUGCCUUGUGGUGCUCAGAGCGCUUGCCUUGCAUGUAUGAGGCCCUGGGUUCGAUUCCUUAGCACCACA
rnacentral:tRNA from 1 species